UGCAGUCCGACCGUUACUCGUCUCGGCAAAUCUUCCUGCACGUCACCACAUUUAGCAAACAGCCAACACAAAGAAGUGACGAAAUAGGUUUAAAAUAGUAUGUAUCAGUGAUUUUACUCAUUACUGAGGGAAAAACUGGGAGAAAAGGAAGAACUGAGGAUGAUGAUUUUCGGGCCGGCUCAGACCUGCAGGGACCACCUGUAACUGAUCCAUCCUGCUCCGGUUCACUGAACAAGGCUCUUUCUUGGUAUCAACCCUGAGAGGGGAACAAAGGGCAGCCAGGAGAAGGUGAUGUUCCAGAGGUCAGGGAAGCUGCUCCAGAAAAAGACAUCUACUGUAAAUCCCCAUGUAGCCUCCUUUAUAAAAAGACUGAUAGACUCUGAGUGGGACUUCAUGUAAACCCACAGCACUUCUCCGUACAGGACCUCACUUUGACAAAGCAAAAGCCCAGUCUGCAACCAGAUGUUCAUGUUGUCAUUUUAAGGUAACAAGUCUCAGUAUUGUGUUCGGUUCAGUAUAAAAUACUUCAGUUCCAGGUUUGUUCCAGGUGUUUAUUGAACAUGAUCAUGAGUUAUGACAGGCUGAUUCUAAAGGCAGGGUACCUGAAAUGUGAUAUGCAAUUUUUAAACAGAUUGUUGACAACCUGUUAAACAUCAUUAAUUGUUUUUAUAGAUUUUAUUUUACAAGACUUGAAUUACUUAAAAUUUGUUAGCUGCUGAAUUUGUUCAAUGCAAUAGUUAAAUAAUUUAAGUGAUAUAUAGGUAUCUUUUGUUACAGUUCAGGAAAAAUGGAAACCAAACUCAGUGUACCUGAACUAGAACAUUCAGAAUGAGAACCUGUUCAGCAUGAGGAAAUGAUUGUAUGUUACUGAAAUUGAAUGGGUCUAAUAAGUCAGUUUUUGAACUAUGUUUGAUACAGAGUUGGCUUUAAUAAAAGCUUAAUGUUGAAAAAUCA